rnacentral:rRNA from 1 species
AUUGAACGCUGGCGGCAGGCCUAACACAUGCAAGUCGAGCGGAUGAGGGGAGCUUGCUCUCUGAUUCAGCGGCGGACGGGUGAGUAAUGCCUAGGAAUCUGCCUGGUAGUGGGGGACAACGUUUCGAAAGGAACGCUAAUACCGCAUACGUCCUACGGGAGAAAGUGGGGGAUCUUCGGACCUCACGCUAUCAGAUGAGCCUAGGUACGAUUAGCUAGUUGGUGAGGUAAAGGCUCACCAAGGCGACGAUCGUUAACUGGUCUGAGAGGAUGAUCAGUCACAAUGGAACUGAGACACGGUACAGACUCCUACGGGAGGCAGCAGUGGGGAAUAUUGGACAAUGGGCGAAAGCCUGAUCCAGCCAUGCCGCGUGUGUGAAGAAGGUCUUCGGAUUGUAAAGCACUUUAAGUUGGGAGGAAGGGCAGUAAGUUAAUACCUUGCUGUUUUGACGUUACCAACAGAAUAAGCACCGGCUAACUUCGUGCCAGCCGCCGCAGUAACAC